AAUAGAUACCCUGGUAGUCCACGCCGUAAACGUUGGGCGCUAGAUGUGGGGACCUUUCCACGGUUUCCGUGUCGUAGCUAACGCAUUAAGCGCCCCGCCUGGGGAGUACGGCCGCAAGGCUAAAACUCAAAGGAAUUGACGGGGGGCCCGCACAAGCGGCGGAGCAUGCGGAUUAAUUCGAUGCAACGCGAAGAACCUUACCAAGGCUUGACAUAACCGAGAACACCGUAGAAAUACGGGACUCUUUGGACACUCGGUUACAGGUGGUGCAUGGUUGUCGUCAGCUCGUGUCGUGAGAUGUUGGGUUAAGUCCCGCAACGAGCGCAACCCUCGUCGCAUGUUGCCAGCACGUCAUGGUGGGAACUCAUGUGAGACUGCCGGGGUCAACUCGGAGGAAGGUGGGGAUGACGUCAAAUCAUCAUGCCCCUUAUGUCUUGGGCUUCACGCAUGCUACAAUGGCCGGUACAAAGGGCUGCGAUGUCGUAAGGCGGAGCGAAUCCCAAAAGCCGGUCUCAGUUCGGAUUGAGGUCUGC
rnacentral:rRNA from 1 species